rnacentral:rRNA from 1 species
CAGCCGCCGCGGUAAUACGUAGGUGGCAAGCGUUGUCCGGAAUUAUUGGGCGUAAAGGGCUCGCAGGCGGUUUCUUAAAUCUGAUGUGAAAGCCCCCGGCUCAACCGGGGAGGGUCAUUGGAAACUGGGAAACUUGAGUGCAGAAGAGGAGAGUGGAAUUCCACGUGUAGCGGUGAAAUGCGUAGAGAUGUGGAGGAACACCAGUGGCGAAGGCGACUCUCUGGUCUGUAACUGACGCUGAGGAGCGAAAGCGUGGGGAGCGAACAGGAUUAGAUACCCCGGUAGUCCCUGUCUCUUAUAC